rnacentral:rRNA from 1 species
AGGACGAACGCUGGCGGCGUGCUUAACACAUGCAAGUCGAGCGAGAACCGGUCCUUCGGGACCGGGGAAAGCGGCGAACGGGUGAGUAACACGUGGGUAAUCAACCCUCGGUACCGGGAUAGCCCGAGGAAACUCGGAUUAAUACCGGAUGGCCCAACAGCCUUUCGGGGCGGUUGGAAAAGGUAGCUUCGGCCUCCGACCGAGGACGAGCCCGCGGCGGAUUAGCUUGUUGGUGGGGUAACGGCCCACCAAGGCGACGAUCCGUAGCUGGUCUGAGAGGACGAUCAGCCACACUGGGACUGAGACACGGCCCAGACUCCUACGGGAGGCAGCAGUGGGGAAUCUUGCACAAUGGGCGAAAGCCUGAUGCAGCGACGCCGCGUGAGGGAAGAAGGCUUUCGGGUUGUAAACCUCUUUCAGGAGGGACGAAGCUACUCGGGUUAAUAGCCCAGAGGGUGACGGUACCUCCAGAAGAAGCCCCGGCUAACUACGUGCCAGCAGCCGC